CAUGCCCUUUGCAAACUCCUCACCAGUUCGCAAUACCCCAAACCUAAUAGCGAAAAUCCCAGACCUUCCUGCGAGUUCUCCUCCGCAAGUUAUUCUUCCCGUCUACUCACCCAGUUCUCAAGAAUCUCAGAGGACCCAAAAGAGAGAUUAGCACAGACCGCAAAUCAACAAAUUGCUUCAGCUGAUUGACCCCUUUCUCUUUUCUCUCAAUUUAAUUCAUUGGGUUUCUGGGUGUUCUUCUUCUUAUUGUUUUAAUUGCGUUGAAUGGUUUGAUUUGAAUUUUGAAACCCACUAUGGGUUUGUUUUCAAGUCGUGCUCUUUUGUUGUUUUGGUGAUUCUCUGUAUUGUACUGGUAUUUGGAGAUUUGAAUUUUGAAACCCACUAUGGGUUGGUUGUAUAUGUUGUGUUUCUGCAUGCCCCACUUCGAUUAUUUUUGAAAUCUUCAUAGCACUCAUCUUGUGCCAAAACAUAUAAUAACAGUUGUGUGUAUUUGGAAGUAUUUGUUUUCGAAAUUUGUACUUGGGUUAAUUAACCGGCAUUGUGUGUUCAAUCGAGGACGAAGAGAGCAUCUCAAAUUGUGAUUUCUAAUCAUAAAUUCAGAUGCGACAGAAUUUCUAAACUUGGUGGAUGACUCGGUUCAAGCAGAUCAAAGUCUUAUGCACGAUUUUGAUGAGUUUCUGAAGCACUAUGACAAGUAUUUGUAAGGAACAAGCAUGAUGACCUUGUUAUCUUGACCAUCAUCAGUAGCCUAUUCAUCUAGUGAAUCUUCAAACUUGAUUACCAGCUCCUUCUUGGCAUGUCUCAUAUUGCUCAUGGAAUAGGUGCGUCACCCUCACAGCUUCAUUAGCCCAAACAAACAAGAAUCUAAGGUGAAUCGACAAGAAAAUCCGAUUUUGCUUUUGGCUCCUUAGUAAGGUAGCACAAGAAGGGUGAGUCCAUCACCAUGGUCCCCUACUUGGAUUUGGAAGGAGUAGACAUAGCCUUGCCGCGAUGGUCAUGCAUGGUAACCCCUUAUUGUCCGACAUUCAGUUCCUCAAUUUCUAGGGUUUCUCUAAUUUUCCAAUAUUGCCCUUAUCGACUCUGCAUUUGUUGUGUUCAUGGCGUUGAGAUCGGGCGGCUGGAAGCUAUCGUUCGUGUUCUCGUUCGUUUCUCUUGAUGUUGACUAUCAUACCAACAAGAAUUUUGAUUACCCUGUGGAGGCUUGUGCAUACAAGGCAGUUAAGAGGCCAUCUGCAGCAGAGCUGUCUGAUUUUGGGUGUUUUACAAUAAUGGCUUGUGGUGUCAUUCUUUUGCAGCAAACAGCUUAAUAUAUUACAUGAUUCGUGGUCAAGGAACAAUCAAAUUGUAUGUGGUGUACAAUGUGUAGGAGACUGAAGAUGAACCUGAGAUGUGUGCAAGAAAAUAUAUACUUUACAAAUAUUGACAAGAAGAGUGUGUAAUGCCAAGACUAGGAGCAGCUCAAGUUCAGAAAAUUAGUAAAUAUUCAAUCUAAGAGCAAUGAACUUGAAACUUUCCAGAUCCUAAGUUGACAUGCUAAGGUACAACAUACUAAAAUUUCAAGCAAAUUGGAGUUAAGCAAAUAUGGCAAAAGAUGGAUGGAAACAGACUGAACUGUGCACCUUUCUUCAGAGUUUUUGUAGCAACUUGGAAUGUAAGAGGGAAAUCUCUCCAUAGUGACCUUAAUCUGCACGAUUUUCUGCAGGUUAAUAAUCCAUCAGACAUAUGUCUUGGGGUAUGGUUUCUCUUUAAUUUCUUAUUUUUUGUCUUCCUCUUUGAUUUUCUUCAGGUUAAUAAUCCACCUUUCCUUAACUCCUUUCUAAUACUUUUUGUUAACUGACUUCGAUGAGAUUGGAUAAGGUGGUUUUAGGGCUGUUUACCAUGCCGAGCUGACAAGCAAGAUGUAAUUUUGCUGAUGGAGAUCUUCAAAAUCAGUGGUAACUCAUUUCAUAUAAGAACAUGUUGUAGACAAUGUCUAUUGGAAGCAUGUAAGGUUGUAGUGCAUGGGCGUGCUGAGUUUGAGGCAAGUGAUGUUAUCUUAAAGGUUGUUUGUUUGGAACAAAUAAACACUACAGACUGAAAGCACACUGAAGAUCACAUGAUGAUCGUACUGAUGUUGUGAUGCUUCAUUUGUGGUUUGAUCCCUCCCAAAUAUAUGUGAUGCUUUAUUUCAGUAUAACCACAUGUUCAUAAUGCAUGCUAUUGUACAUAUACAACUUCGAUAGAUGGUGUCCUACCGUCCUCACUAUAUACCAUCAAAGUUUUGAUUUCUUUCAGUUUUGGCAGCCAUAAUGUGGCUCCAAAUGAUCACAGAACACUAAGCCUAGACGCUUUAUAGAAGAAUGCACCAACUGUGAACAGCAGACUGCUGCUGUUAGAUUUGUAGCACCAUCAAGGUGGAAGCAGCUUCUCAGGAUCACGCUCAUGUCAAAAGCGUCCUAAAAUUCCACCUUCUGGCCCAAGCCACAGGACCAACAAGACACCUAAUUCCUCAAGAGAUUACUAAACACUUAUGUUAUUUGUACAUAGAGAACAGCAUUUCCAACUGAAGUUUGGUAGAAUUUUUUGGCAAACUUAUUCAUGUGUCUCUGAUUUUGUUUGAUGGGUUUGAUUUUUCUUC